GAACGCUAGCUACAGGCUUAACACAUGCAAGUCGAGGGGCAGCAUACUGAUAGCUUGCUAUCAGUGAUGGCGACCGGCGCACGGGUGAGUAACGCGUAUCCAACCUUCCCCGUAGUAGGGCACAGCCCGGCGAAAAGUCGGAUUAAUUCCCUAUGUUCUCCAAUGCAGACAUCUAAGUUGGAGCAAAGAUUGAUCGCUAUGGGAUGGGGAUGCGUCUGAUUAGGUUGUCGGCGGGGUAACGGCCCACCGAGCCCGCGAUCAGUAGGGGUUCUGAGAGGAAGGUCCCCCACAUUGGAACUGAGACACGGUCCAAACUCCUACGGGAGGCAGCAGUGAGGAAUAUUGGUCAAUGGAGGCAACUCUGAACCAGCCAAGUAGCGUGCAGGAUGACGGCCCUAUGGGUUGUAAACUGCUUUUAUAAGGGAAUAAAGGAUGCCACGUGUGGUGUUUUGCAUGUACCUUAUGAAUAAGGACCGGCUAAUUCCGUGCC
rnacentral:rRNA from 1 species